rnacentral:rRNA from 1 species
CAUAUAAUUAAGCGGAGGAAAAGAAACUAACCAGGAUUCCCUUAGUAGCGGCGAGCGAAGCGGGAAUAGCCCAAACUGAAAACCCAAUUUAUUUUGGGGUUGUAGUGGUCAUUCUGGAGACGCCAGUACAGGCAAGUGAGCAUGAAAGUGCCCGCCGCGGAGGGUUAAAGCCCCGUCCAUCCUGUACAGGGUUGUUUCGUACAAGAAUGUACCGAAAGAGUCGGGUAGCUUGAGAAUGCUGCCCUAAGAUAGGUGAUAAGUUUCAUCUAAGGCUAAAUACUGGUGGGAGACCGAUAGCAAACAAGUACCGUGAGGGAAAGUUUAAAAGCACUUUGAAAAGAGAGUGAAAAGAACCUGAAACCGUUACGUAGAAAAGGAACUGCAGCAGAGUGAAGGGCGCUUUCUGUUCAGCCUAGUUUUCUAGGUGUACUCAGGAAUGUUUUGCCCGCCAGCCGUGAGCUUCUGAUGGUCGAUUUUCGACUUUCAGGGGUGGAGGGCUCCCUUUCGAGGUGAGGACGUGCUGGAUAAUGCUGCGAUUCCACCCGUCUUGAAACACGGACCAAGAAGUGGAGCAUAUAUGCGAGUCGAAGGGUGUUUAAACCUGAUGGCGCAGUGAAAGCGACUGUAGAACUUGCAGUUUGCGGCGGCAUACGAUCUUUGAUCGUAGGUCCGACCUAGAGCAUAUAUGCUCCGACCCGAAAGAUGGUGAACUAUACUUGGGUAGGGUGAAGCCAGGAGAAAUCCUGGUGGAAGCUCGUAGCGGUGCUGACGUGCAAAUCGCUCGUCCAACCUGAGUAUAGGGGCGAAAGACUAAUCGAACCAUCUGGUAGCUGGUUUCCUCCGAAGUUUCUCUCAGGAUAGCGGACCAAAAUAAUGUUGUUAUGCGCGGUAAAGCGAAUGAUUAGCGUUUUGGGGGAAUUCUUUUCCUCCUGGCGAUUCUCAAACUUUAAAUGCGCAUGGAGGGUGCUGCUUCGGUGAGCGCUCUCGUUAAAAACAUUUGGUUCCGUGGGCCACUUUUGGUAAGCAGAACUGGCGAUAUGGGAUGAACCAUAAGUGUAGUUAAGGCGCCAAAUUGCCCGCUUAUAGAUCCCAAAAAAGGUGUUGAUUCAUAUAGACAGCAGGACGGUGGCCAUGGAAGUCGGAAUCCGCUAAGGAGUGUGUAACAACUCACCUGCCGAAUGAAUUAGCCCUGAAAAUGGAUGGCGCUCAAGCGGGCAGCCGACACUGCACCAUUUAAGCUAUCUAUGCCUUAAAUGAGUAGGAGGAACGUGGCGGUUGUACAGAAGCAUCUCCGCAAGGAGGUGUGGAACGGCCGCUAGUGCAGAUCUUGGUGGUAGUAGCAAAUAUUCAAAUGUGAUCCUUGAAGGGUCAAGCGGGGAAGGGUUCCACGCGAUCAUUGAUUGAGCGUGGGUUAGUCGGUCCUGAGCCGUCUGGCAAUUUCUAGCCACCGGCGAAAGGGAAACAGGUAAAGAUUCCUGUACUUGACAUAGUCUUGGGUAACCUAUCCUUACCGGAUGACUCCCAGAAUGGCGUGGUUGCAGUCCCCUAACAGAGAUUUCUUUUCUGUUUCACAAACCAGUGUGCCCCGAAAUCGGUUCGUCCUGAGUAGGGGUACUUGCCUCCUUGAGGUCUGGUAGAGCAGCGGGAUUUUUCCCGUUGUUUGGGUUGACUCCUGCGUCCCUUGAAGAGCUGGGCCCGGGUCUGUAGAGCUUCGGCUUUGCAGGCGGGAAAUUCUAUGUUCAACCCGUACCCAUAACCGCAUCAGGUCCCCAAGGUGAACAGCCUCUGUCCAAUAUGAAUAAUGCAGGUAAGGGAAGUCGGCAAAUUAGACCCGUAACUUUGGGAAAAGGGUUGGCUCUAGUGCUGUGUAGGAGUGGUUGCCAAGACGGAACGCUAGUUCGCUCACUAGCUUGGCGUCGUGUGUAACCAUGAAACCUUGCAGGUAAUCGCUAGAGUUUUGCUUGGCGGCGCCUACAGCAUGCAGUAAACUAGAACUGCAACGGUCAAAGGGAAUCCGACUGUUUAAUUAAAACAAAGCAUUGCGACGGCCUUGGCCGGUGUUGACGCAAUGUGAUUUCUGCUCAGUGCUCUGAAUGUCAAAGUGAAGAGAUUCAAAUAAGCGCGGGUAAACAGCGGGAGUAACUAUGACUCUCUUAAGGUAGCCAAAUGCCUCGUCAUCUAAUUAGUGACGCGCAUGAAUGGAUUAACGAGAUUCCUACUGUCCCUAUCUGCUUCUAGCGAAACCACAGCUGGGGGAACGGGCCCAGAAAAAUCGGCGGGGAAAGAAGACCCUGUUGAGCUUGACUCUAUUCUAAUGUUGUGAAGCGGGUUAGAAGGUGUAGAAUAGGAGGGAGAGCUUGCUCGUCCGUGAAAUACCUCUACUUUUAAUCCCGCUUUACUUACCAGGUUAAAGUGAAACUGCGCAACAUUCUGACGUGCAAAUCUUUUAGCGCUAACGUCCUUCGGGGCGGAUCACAGCCUGAGACAGCUUUAGGAGGGGAGUUUGGCUGGGGCGGCACAUCUUCUACAGGACAACGAAGGUGUCCCAAGAUGAGCUCAGUGAGAACAGAAAUCUCACGUAGCGCAAAAGGGUAAAAGCUCAUUUGAUUUUGAUUUUCAGUACGAGUCAAAAAAGUUAAGGCUAGGCCUAUCGAUCCUUUUUGAUCUUCGAAACUUGAAGCAAGAGGUGUCAGAAAAGUUACCACAGGGAUAACUGGCUUGUGGCGGCCAAGCGUUCAUAGCGACGUCGCUUUUUGAUCCU